AGUUUGAUUAUGGCUCAGUAAGUCGUAACAAGGUAACCGUAAAGUUUGAUUAUGGCUCAUUAAGUCGUAACAAGGUAACCGUAUAGUUUGAUGAUGGCUCACCAGGACAUAGGGGCGAAUACGGAAAGGUUGAUUGAACCGCAGGUUCCGACAUAAGAGGUGGCUUCGGCUACCACUUACAGAUGGACCCGCGGCGCAUAGCUAGUUGGUGAGGUAACGGCUCACCAAGGCGACGAUGCGUAGCCGACCUGAGAGGGUGAUCGGCCACACUGGGACUGAGACACGGCCCAGACUCCUACGGGAGGCAGCAGUAGGGAAUCUUCCGCAAUGGACGAAAGUCUGACGGAGCAACGCCGCGUGAGUGAUGAAGGUUUUCGGAUCGUAAAGCUCUGUUGUUAGGGAAGAACAAGUGCCGUUCAANUAGGGCGGCACCUUGACGGUACCUAACCAGAANGCCACGGCUAACUACGUGCCAGCAGCCGCGGUAAUACGUAGGUGGCAAGCGUUGUCCGGAAUUAUUGGNCGUAAAGGGCUCGCAGGCGGUUUCUUAAGUCUGAUGUGAAAGCCCCCGGCUCAACCGGGGAGGGUCAUUGGAAACUGGGGAACUUGAGUGCAGAAGAGGAGAGUGGAAUUCCACGUGUAGCGGUGAAAUGCGUAGAGAUGUGGAGGAACACCAGUGGCGAAGGCGACUCUCUGGUCUGUAACUGACGCUGAGGAGCGAAAGCGUGGGGAGCGAACAGGAUUAGAUACCCUGGUAGUCCACGCCGUAAACGAUGAGUGCUAAGUGUUAGGGGGUUUCCGCCCCUUAGUGCUGCAGCUAACGCAUUAAGCACUCCGCCUGGGGAGUACGGUCGCAAGACUGAAACUCAAAGGAAUUGACGGGGGCCCGCACAAGCGGUGGAGCAUGUGGUUUAAUUCGAAGCAACGCGAAGAACCUUACCAGGUCUUGACAUCCUCUGACAAUCCUAGAGAUAGGACGUCCCCUUCGGGGNGCAGAGUGACAGGUGGUGCAUGGUUGUCGUCAGCUCGUGUCGUGAGAUGUUGGGUUAAGUCCCGCAACGAGCGCAACCCUUGAUCUUAGUUGCCAGCAUUCAGUUGGGCACUCUAAGGUGACUGCCGGUGACAAACCGGAGGAAGGUGGGGAUGACGUCAAAUCAUCAUGCCCCUUAUGACCUGGGCUACACACGUGCUACAAUGGACAGAACAAAGGGCAGCGAAACCGCGAGGUUAAGCCAAUCCCACAAAUCUGUUCUCAGUUCGGAUCGCAGUCUGCAACUCGAAUGCGUGAAGCAGGAAUCGGUAGUAAUCGCGGAUCAGCCUGUCGCGGGGAACACGUUCCCGGUCGUGGUUCACCCCGGCUCUC
rnacentral:rRNA from 1 species